GCCUGGAUGAUCUUGGAGAUCUCUUCCAAGCUGCUUGAAUCUAUGAUUCUGUAAAGGCAAGUUGUGAUCUAGUUACUUUCCAUGGGUUUUUUGUCUGCUUCUCUUGUUUUCCUUUAUAACACAACUUGAUGGGAGCUCCUCUGCUGGAGAACUGACAGAACCUGGUGCCUGAGAUGACAGAGCCUACCACCUUCUUGAACAGCACCAAAGAACAACCUCCUGUACAAUGAAGGGAGGGCAGGUACUAGAGAAAGCAUGCACAAAGCUGACCAAGACAAACAGCACACCGGAUCUGGAGGGGGAAGAACAGCUCUGGAUCUGCAGGAGAACUUUCCUAUGAGAAGUGAAACUGAGGCAUGGAAAGAAUUUAAGCCUCCAGACAAGCUGUUGUGGCUGAGAGGGAGAAGAUACACAUGGUCACACAACAGAAGGGGGCCAGAGGAGAGGGCAGCUGCCAAGCAACUCAACUUUGGGAAGAGCAGAAGACUGAGAGACUGUGUCUUGGUCCUCCUAUACAAGGAAUCACGAAGAUAGCCUAAGCUGUGAAAGCCCAGGAGAAUAAGGAAGGGAAAAAGAGUAAGCAGGAAUAGGAUAUGAACAGCUUUGACUUUGCAAAAGAUUGCAAAUAAUAAUUUCAGCUGGAAAAGGCAAUUAAAGUCAUCAAGUCCAACCAUUAUCUGCUUUCAACAAGUCUGGUGCUAAACUGUGUCCCUUAGCACCACAUUUAUGCAUCUUCAAAACAGCAAUGAAAAAUAACUAACAAACCCAAACAAACAAAAACCACAGGAAAAUAAAGGUCAAUAACAACAAAAAGGAAUACUGCAGAAGAAAGUAAGAUAGAGGAAAUAAUCUCCUAGGAUUGUUGUUUUGAAGAACAAAGACACUUGUCCAAACGCUUAGCCCGGUUGGCAAUUGUAUUGUCAGUGUCCCUGGUCAAGAGUGUUGUGCAUCAAAUCUGAAUUAGCAGAGAAGCAGAGCAUCUCUCAACCUGUUUUCCAACAAAAUAUGCAAAGCUAACAUGCAUAACAAUCUCUUCUUGAGCAAUGUGUGAUACUGCUUGGCUAUCCUGGCUCUGCUUUUUGAGACUAAAGAGCUUUGAGAAACCUCCUGGAGGCAAAGUCUUGCAAGCUCCUGUAAUGCUUCCUUAUUUGCUUCUCUCGUUAGAAACAAAACAAGCAACAAACCUCUUUCUCUCCUGCUUUCCUAUAACACAGUGUCUGUGUUUUUAGACAACCAAGCUGCUAUAAAAUAUUUAGCUGUUUUGCUUUUAGAGAGUGGCAUCCAUGCUUGUUUGCACACUCUGCUUUUCUGCCAAGAUGCCAGUCUGAAGUGGCAUUCUCCUUCUUGUUUACUGCAUACCCAGCAUAGUACAGCAGGCCUUUCUUCAAGGAAUAAAAGUACCUCUUUCAAGAUGGCCUGAACUUUGAGUUCUUAGUAACCUCAUUCAGCUGUGUUGCAGGGAAGGUAAGCCCAGACUCACUCUUUUUGUCUGAGUUAUGUCAGGACAGUAACAAAAGGAGUCACAGUUUUGCUACCAGUGAGCAAAGACUAGUUUUUCUCUGAAGCCAUUUCUUCAUUUCUGUAGCCUUUCAUGUUACCCUUCUGUCUUAGAAUCAUAGACUGUCAGGGGUUGCAAGGGACCUCCAAAGCACAUGUGGCCCAGCCCCCCUGCCAGAGCAGGAUCACCUAGAGCAGAUCACACCGCAACGCAUCCAGACAGCUCUUGAGUAUCUCCAGAGAGGGAGACUCCACAGCCUCCCUGGGCAGCCUGUUCCAGUGCUCUGUCAUCCUCACAGGGAAAAAAAUCUUCUUCAGGUUUACACAGAACCUCCUAUGCCUCUUGCCUUGGAGAAGUAAGAGUGAAUGAGGAAAAGUAACCCAGAGACAAAUAUUCCUGUUGCUCUCUACAGCCACUGGUGAAUCAUGAGACAGGGCAGCUGGGAAUUUAGACAUUCACCUUUUGCAGCAAUUAACAUCCAAUUUGUCCAUCAGUAAGUACCAUCUUGGCAGUGCAUUGCAUUGCCUCUCUCUCCCUUUUAAUCCAAAACUGCUCCACCUGUACGAGAUACCUGACAUCAUGUAUCCUCUUCCUGCAUUACUCUGUCUCUCAGGGUGUUCUCAGAGUCAUCUACUUGAAUUAUGAAAGUGAAUUUUAAAAUUGCAGGCACUGGAGUAAAG